CCUACGGGUGGCAGCAGUGGGGAAUAUUGGACAAUGGGCGAAAGCCUGAUCCAGCCAUGCCGCGUGUGUGAAGAAGGCCUUCGGGUUGUAAAGCACUUUCAGUGGGGAAGAAAGCCUUGGGGCUAAUACCCUCGAGGAAGGACAUCACCCACAGAAGAAGCACCGGCUAACUCCGUGCCAGCAGCCGCGGUAAUACGGAGGGUGCGAGCGUUAAUCGGAAUUACUGGGCGUAAAGCGCGCGUAGGCGGUCUGAUAAGCCGGUUGGGAAAGCCCCGGGCUCAACCUGGGAACGGCAUCCGGAACUGUCAGGCUAGAGUGCAGGAGAGGAAGGUAGAAUUCCCGGUGUAGCGGUGAAAUGCGUAGAGAUCGGGAGGAAUACCAGUGGCGAAGGCGGCCUUCUGGACUGACACUGACGCUGAGGUGCGAAAGCGUGGGUAGCAAACAGGAUUAGAUACCCCAGUAGUC
rnacentral:rRNA from 1 species